GUGUUUACUUCGGCAGCAUAGAUACUAAAAUUGGGACGAUACAGAGAAGAUGAGCAUGGCUCCUGCACGAGGAUGACAGGCAAAUUCGUGAAGUGUUCCAUAUUUUU
ensembl:snRNA U6 U6 spliceosomal RNA